AGUGAACGCUGGCGGUAGGCCUAACACAUGCAAGUCGAACGGCAGCACAGUAAGAGCUUGCUCUUACGGGUGGCGAGUGGCGGACGGGUGAGGAAUACAUCGGAAUCUACUUUUUCGUGGGGGAUAACGUAGGGAAACUUACGCUAAUACCGCAUACGACGUACGGGUGAAAGCAGGGGAUCUUCGGACCUUGCGCGAUUGAAUGAGCCGAUGUCGGAUUAGCUAGUUGGCGGGGUAAAGGCCCACCAAGGCGACGAUCCGUAGCUGGUCUGAGAGGAUGAUCAGCCACACUGGAACUGAGACACGGUCCAGACGCCUACGGGAGGGAGCAGUGGGGAAUAUUGGACAAUGGGCGCAAGCCUGAUCCAGCCAGACCGCGUGGGUGAAGAAGGCCUUCGGGUUGUAAAGCCCUUUUGUUGGGAAAGAAAAGCAGCAGGUUAAUACCCCGCUGUUCUGACGGUACCCAAAGAAUAAGCACCGGCUAACUUCGUG
rnacentral:rRNA from 1 species